GUGAACGCCCUCACGGGCUUAUACUAUUCCAAACCUCUGUGAACCGUGCCCUUCGGGGCUAUUUACAACAUGGUGUAAUGAACGUCAUAUAUCAUAACAAAACA
rnacentral:misc_RNA from 1 species